UAGCGAGCAGGAACGCCAACGGGGGUACCCCCAAAGUCAAGACGGACGGUCUCAUCAGCAGCCCAGUCAGAAUAGUUCGCUGUAUCAGCGUCACGGACAUACUGAGUCCAUUGGGCCAUGUCGCGGCGUGAACGGGACCGGCCGGAUGACGGUCGGUCAGCCACCAACAAAACACGGGUCUUACCAUCCAACCUAACCGGGGCGCAGCAUCCCUGCCACUCCGCAGGCAAGGUCUGGCGUACACGUUGGCCCCCGCAAAACCAGAACACAUCCGCAAGGGGAACAGUACCACCACUAAGAUCAGGGUUCAGCAGGGAUUUGGUUCAACCUACUAAAGAGUGGAGAAGCGGACACCAGAACUUUGCAUGCUGCAUGCCCAGUUUUUGUAGGCAGUACGUGGGGUAAGUUUCCAGUAAGCACCUCUGCAGAAAAUGCUUGGCGUAUUUGGUUAUUUUUAUUAAUGUACUCAAUUUUACUGAAAAUUGGAAACAAAAUCAGUGCUCACUGAUAUCCAAGCAACUUCAUAAAUCUUUUGUAAAUAUUUCUUUUAGUCUUUGAUUUAGUUGCCAAUAAGUGGCUCUGCUGUCGGGGACAAGAUUUCAGGAGAAGGUGCACUCUGUACAGGUCCGACUGUGACUGAAAAUUGAAACUCUACCUAAAGCAAGCUGAAAAGAUUUUCAGAACUAAGAUAUUUG
ensembl:lncRNA